rnacentral:rRNA from 1 species
UACAGAGGUCUCAAGCGUUGUUCGGAUUCAUUGGGCGUAAAGGGUGCGUAGGCGGCGCGGUAAGUCGGAUGUGAAAUCUUGGAGCUUAACUCCGAAACUGCAUUCGAUACUGCCGUGCUUGAGGACUGGAGAGGAGACUGGAAUUUACGGUGUAGCGGUGAAAUGCGUAGAUAUCAGGAGGAACACCCGUGGCGAAGGCGGUUCUCUGGGACGGUACUGACGCUGAGACGCGAAAGCGUGGGGAGCGAACAGG